rnacentral:misc_RNA from 1 species
GGGUAUUAUAAUAUUAACGCUUAGAUUUCAAUUUAUAACAUAAAACAAUUAAAACAAUAGACGUCUUAAAAUUUCUCGCUCCUCUCUUUUGCCUCUUACAUCCUCUUUCUCUUUUUGAUCUUCUGUGGCAAAAAGUUUACAAUUUCACAUAAACAGGAACUAUUUAUGCAAGAGGAACAUAUUAACAGUGAUCCAGAGUUUACAAUUUCACAUAAUCCAGUUCUAGUGUGUACUGUUUAUGAGCAUAAUACCUUACCAGUACGUUUUCAUACUGUUGUGAUUCAAAACCCAUAAAAUCAUGCUCAAUACUACUAAAGACAUCAACAGCAACCUUCUUUCAAUGGUAUGGACUUGUGUAUCCAUUUUUCCAAAUCUUCGUAGCAUAUCAACAAACACAUAUCUUGCACGUUCUUGAAGAGGACGAUCAUACCCCAUUAAGUCCCCCAGUAAUCUAGGUGUCCCAUAAUCCUUGAGCCUGAUAAAUAAUCUUCUCCCUGGAUUUGCAUUAGUCCAAGACGUCCUUGAUGAGGUCAUCUCACCAUAAUUACGAAUAGGAAUAGUGACAUGAUUAGAUGCUGUUGCCAUUGCAAUGGCGUUAAGUUAAUGGUGUUAGCAAACUAAGUAUCCUAUCUCAAGAAGACCUUGGGAGGGUUUCGUCCCCCAGGUCUCUUAUUCAUCAAGAAGCAAGAAUGCAUUACGAGGAAAAACUAAGUUAUUUACCUUCAACAUCCAAUUGAUAGUAGGGAGAAUCAUCCAGUUUCUGGCUAGCACCAUCUACUCCACACACUUGAAUA